CUUCCGACAAGGGAGGCGGGCAAACGCUCCCCUGAUGUGCGGUGGAAGGGGACAGCACAGCCGCUAGGCCGCAUCAGCGACUCCCCUGCGGGGUGUGUGCGGGGAGAGCCCUUCCCUAGCGCCCCUCUGUGCCCAGCUCGGGGGACUUUCUCCGAGGGCUGGAACCAGCUCCUGCCGACACCAGCCACUGAGUCGGGGCCUGCAGGGGCUGCUAACAGGGAGUUUCGCAAGGGAGUUCUCCAGGUGAAGGAGGAGCAAAUACAGGACCCUUGGGACAAUCCAUGGACUGAUCUACAAUGGAAAGAGACUGUCACGGAGUCACCCGGGCGAUGAUCUGGAACUACUCCAUAUGAAGCCAGUCAGGACUCUGGGGGGGAGCAUGCCUCCUCUCUGUGAGCAUACUGUCUCCAGGGCAAGAAGCUUACACAGCUUCGACCUUCCUGGGUCUGACCUCAGAGCAU